UACAUGUGGGGCAAGCGUUGUUCGGAAUUACUGGGCAUAAAGGGCUCGUAGGCGGCCAACUAAGUCAGACGUGAAAUCCCUCGGCUUAACCGGGGAACUGCGUCUGAUACUGGAUGGCUUGAAUCCGGGAGAGGGAUGCGGAAUUCCAGGUGUAGCGGUGAAAUGCGUAGAUAUCUGGAGGAACACCGGUGGCGAAGGCGGCAUCCUGGACCGGCAUUGACGCUGAGGAGCGAAAGCCAGGGGAGCAAACGGG
rnacentral:rRNA from 1 species